rnacentral:misc_RNA from 1 species
GAUGAAGAACGUAGCGAAAUGCGAUAAGUAAUGUGAAUUGCAGAAUUCAGUGAAUCAUCGAAUCUUUGAACGCACAUUGCGCCCGCCAGUAUUCUGGCGGGCAUGCCUGUUCGAGCGUCAUUUCAACCAUCAAGCCCCAGGCUUGUGUUGGGGACCUGCGGCUGCCGCAGGCCCUGAAAACCAGUGGCGGGCUCGCUGUCAUACCGGGCGUAGUAGAUUUUAUCUCGCUCAGGGCGUGCUGCGGGUUCCGGCCGUUAAAAAGCCUUUUUUACCCAAGGUUGACCUCGGAUCAGGUAGGAAGACCCGCUGAACUUAAGCAUAUCAAUAAGCGGAGGA